CCAAAAAUGUUGGUUUAAAUCCCUCCUAUACUA
rnacentral:tRNA from 2 species